AUGUGUGUUCCGUGUAGUCAUAUUCCAAAUCAUGGGUAUCGCCUCCCCUCCCCCCGUCAUCGGCGAGGACAACAUGUAGUUCCAAGCCCACCGUCAUUGUGUUUUCCAUGUCCUGAUCACUCCAUCGAUAUUCCUCUCUACCCCUCCUCCACGAGUCUUAUCUCCAUCGAUGGUUCCUUCCCUCUUCAUAACCGUGAGGGUCAUUUAUAUAUGAUUGACGACUUCGAAGUUCUGGAUCCAAGCAUCGAUGGUGUCCUCCCUCUUCAUGACCGCGAGAGUUAUUUCCAGGUGAUUGUUGGAUUCGAAGUUCUAGAUCUAACCAUCGAUGGCGUCCUCCCUCUUCAUGACCGCAAGAGUUAUCUCAGGUGA
rnacentral:rRNA from 1 species